rnacentral:rRNA from 1 species
ACCGGCGCACGGGUGAGUAACACGUAUGCAACCUGCCCCUGUCAGGGGGACAACCCGCCGAAAGGCGGGCUAAACCCGCGUACAUGCCACCGGGGCAUCCCGGAGGCAGGAAAGGCUUCGGCCGGACAGGGAUGGGCAUGCGGCGCAUUAGGCAGUAGGCGGGGUAACGGCCCACCUAACCGACGAUGCGUAGGGGUUCUGAGAGGAAGGUCCCCCACACUGGUACUGAGACACGGACCAGACUCCUACGGGAGGCAGCAGUGAGGAAUAUUGGUCAAUGGUCGGGAGACUGAACCAGCCAAGCCGCGUGAGGGAUGAAGGUACAGAGUAUCGUAAACCUCUUUUGUCAGGGAACAAAGGCGGGGACGUGUCCCCGGAUGAGUGUACCUGAAGAAAAAGCAUCGGCUAACUCCGUGCCAGCAGCCGCGGUAAUACGGAGGAUGCGAGCGUUAUCCGGAUUUAUUGGGUUUAAAGGGUGCGCAGGCGGUCUGUUAAGUCAGCGGUCAAAGCCCGGGGCUCAACCCCGGUCCGCCGUUGAAACUGGCAGUCUCGAGUUGGAGAGAAGUAUGCGGAAUGCGCGGUGUAGCGGUGAAAUGCAUAGAUAUCGCGCAGAACUCCGAUUGCGAAGGCAGCAUGCCGGCUCCACACUGACGCUGAGGCACGAAAGCGUGGGUAUCGAACAGGAUUAGAUACCCUGGUAGUCCACGCAGUAAACGAUGAAUGCUG